UAUAUAUAUAUAUAUAUAGGAUAUUAAUUUAAUAUAAAAUAUUUAAAUUGCAUUUAAAAAUUG
rnacentral:tRNA from 1 species